rnacentral:rRNA from 1 species
UACGAAGGGGGCGAGCGUUGUUCGGAAUUACUGGGCGUAAAGGGCGCGUAGGCGGCCGAUCAAGUCAGAUGUGAAAGUCCUGGGCUUAACCUGGGGACUGCAUUUGAUACUGAUUGGCUUGAAUGCAGGAGAGGAUAGCGGAAUUCCCAGUGUAGAGGUGAAAUUCGUAGAUAUUGGGAAGAACACCGGUGGCGAAGGCGGCUAUCUGGACUGUAAUUGACGCUGAGGCGCGAAAGCGUGGGGAGCAAAC